AUUGAGGCCCCCUCAGGUGUUCGCUGCCCGCGGGGCCGUUAGCGGGGGCGGGCUGGGGCGCGUGGGUGUUUUGUUCUGUGCUGGGGCCCGGCUGGAGGCAGGGAGCAGAAGCGUCCUCUCCUGCCUUGCUUUUGGGGUCUCUGAACCUGUGGCUGCCGGUUUUGGUAAUCUGCUGGCGUCUUCUGCACCAACACGACCUCGGCGCUUGGCAUAAUAUGGAUCAGCAACUCCACAUGUCUCACAUGAGUCGUGAGAGGCAAUGGUCAUGGACCUCCUACUUUUCCUAUGAGCACUGUCUGAAGGACACAUUGAGGAGAAGGAAACUUCAGACAGGACAGCUUUAAUCUUCUCAGGCCUCACAUCACAUGGGAAAACCUUCAGCACCAGGACAUAAAGGAAACGCAGCUGAGAUAGGAGGCAGACUGGCACACACCUGCGCACAUCCACAGCUGAGAUAGGAGGCAGACUGGCACACCUGAGCACAUCCCAGACCUUGCAU